UGGGGAAUAUUGCGCAAUGGGCGAAAGCCUGACGCAGCGACGCCGCGUGGGGGAUGAAGGCCUCGGGUUGUAAACCCCUUUCAGCAGGGACGAAGCGAAAGUGACGGUACCUGCAGAAGAAGCGCCGGCUAACUACGUGCCAGCAGCCGCGGUAACACGUAGGGCGCAAGCGUUGUCCGGAAUUAUUGGGCGUAAAAGAGCUCGUAGGCGGUCUGUUGCGUCCGCUGUGAAAUCUCGGGGCUUAACCCCGAGCCUGCAGUGGAUACGGGCAGACUAGAGGUAGGUAGGGGAGAAUGGAAUUCCUGGUGUAGCGGUGAAAUGCGCAGAUAUCAGGAGGAACACCGGUGGCGAAGGCGGUUCUCUGGGCCUUACCUGACGCUGAGGAGCGAAAGCGUGGGGAGCAAACAGGAUUAGAUACCCCGGUAGUCC
rnacentral:rRNA from 1 species